CAGGAGGCUGUAAAACGGCACAGGGCUCUGUCUCUGUGUUUGUGCAACAACAGCACAACUCAUAGUGCUUAUAUCUGGCAGGAUAACCCCACAGGCAGGAUAACCCCUCAGACACUAUAACCCCACAGACACUAUAACCCCUCAGACACUAUAACCCCACAGGCAGGAUAACCCCACAGGCAGGAUAACCCCACAGGCAGGAUAACCCCACAGACAGGAUAACCCCUCAGACACUAUAACCCCUCAGACACUAUAACCCCACAGGCAGGAUAACCCCACAGGCAGGAUAACCCCUCAGACACUAUAACCCCACAGACACUAUAACCCCACAGGCAGGAUAACCCCACAGGCAGGAUAACCCCACAGGCAGGAUAACCCCACAGACAGGAUAACCCCUCAGACACUAUAACCCCUCAGACACUAUAACCCCACAGGCAGGAUAACCCCACAGGCAGGAUAACCCCACAGACACUAUAACCCCUCAGACACUAUAAACCCACAGGCAGAAUAACCCCUCAGACAGGAUAGCCCCACAUACACUAUAAACCCACAGGCAGGAUAACCCAUCAGACACUAUAAUCCCACAGGCAGGAGAACCCCACAGACAGGAUAACCCCACAGGCAGGAUAACCCCACAGACACUAUAACCCCUCAGACAGGAUAACCCCACAGACACUAUAAACCCAUAGACAGGAUAACCCCACAGGCAGGAUAACCCACAGGCAGGAUAACCCAACAGACACUAUAACCCCACAGACAGGAUAACAGGAUAACCCCACAGACACUAUAACCCCACAGACACUAUAACCCCACAGACACUAUAACCCCACAGACAGGAUAACCCCACAGACAGGAUAACCCCACAGGCAUGAUAACCCCACAGGCAGGAUAACCCCUCAUACAAUAUAACCCCACAGGCACUAUAACCCCACAGACAGGAUAACCCCACAGGCAUGAUAACCCCACAGGCAGGAUAACCCCACAGGCAUGAUAACCCCACAGGCAGGAUAACCCCGCAGACAGGAUAACCCCACAGGCAGGAUAACCCCACAGGCAGGAUAACAACUCAUACACUAUAAUCACACAGGCAGGAUAACCCCUCAUACAAUAUACCCCCACAGGCAGGAUAACCCCACAGACAGAAUAACCCCACAGGUAGGAUAACCCCACAGGCAGGAUAACCCCACAGACAGGAUAACCCCACAGGCAUGAUAACCCCACAGGCAUGAUAACCCCACAGGCAUGAUAACCCCACAGGCAUGAUAACCCCACAGGCAGGAUAACCCCACAGGCAGGAU
ensembl:lncRNA